rnacentral:misc_RNA from 1 species
GAUGAAGAACGUAGCGAAAUGCGAUAAGUAAUGUGAAUUGCAGAAUUCAGUGAAUCAUCGAAUCUUUGAACGCACAUUGCGCCCGCCAGUAUUCUGGCUGGCAUGCCUGUUCGAGCGUCAUUACAACCCUCAGGCCCCCGGGCCUGGCGUUGGGGAUCGGCGGAGCCCCCCGUGGGCACACGCCGUCCCCCAAAUGCAGUGGCGGUCCCGCCGCAGCUUCCAUCGCGUAGUAGCUAACACCUCGCGACUGGAGAGCGGCGCGGCCACGCCGUAAAACACCCAACUCUUCUGAAGUUGACCUCGAAUCAGGUAGGAAUACCCGCUGAACUUAAGCAUAUCAAUAGGCGGAGGA